CUGGACGUGGCAGAAUUGGAUGGACAAUUAGUAUAUCAGUUUAUGAAAUGGGGGGGGGGGGUAAAACUAAUGGAUGCCUGACAUAAAGGUGUGGAGUGGUGCCAGUACAAUGGACACAGCUAGUAUUUGGCAUAUUUUGAGUGGCGGUCGUAUUUGGGAACACAGCCCAGUAGAAGAUACUCCUCUCUAGGAGUAGUGGGAGACAUACCUGUGAGAGCGUGUUCUGACUGUGCAUGUCAUGCUUUGGUAAGCCAAGCUAGGAGUCAGAAUGACAAACCUCAAUAAUGGUGGGCGAGUGAAUGUUUGCUGAUGCAGGGUCACUCUGUGCCCUCCUUUCCUUGUAAGAUAGUGAUAGAUCCAUACCUCCCGAGCAUCUCUAUUUAGGAAAGACAGUUCCUAUUUUGGGCUUAUAUCCC